rnacentral:rRNA from 1 species
AGGGAAUCUUCCACAAUGGACGAAAGUCUGAUGGAGCAACGCCGCGUGAGUGAUGAAGGGUUUCGGCUCGUAAAACUCUGUUGUUGGAGAAGAACAGGUGUGAGAGUAACUGUUCACAUCUUGACGGUAUCCAACCAGAAAGCCACGGCUAACUACGUGCCAGCAGCCGCGGUAAUACGUAGGUGGCAAGCGUUGUCCGGAUUUAUUGGGCGUAAAGCGAGCGCAGGCGGUUUCUUAGGUCUGAUGUGAAAGCCUUCGGCUUAACCGGAGAAGUGCAUCGGAAA